AGGCCCCGAUGAUGGCAGCACUGGGCGCUGACCGCCUGUGAAGGACAGACCACGUGCCCCCUGCACUGCCAGGGGUCUGAGGGGCCU